ensembl:snoRNA SCARNA12 small Cajal body-specific RNA 12
CUGGCUGAUGAGACUAAGGCGAAUGCGACCCAUGCUCGUGGAUCUCUGGGGGUGGGGGCACCAAGUCGGAUCUGAAAUCUUAGUGAGGCGCCUGAGGCCUGUCUCCUCACCGUAAGGCAGAUCAACAGCACUGCUGGCCUUGCCUCUGUUUCUGCUGCUGCCUCCAGUUCCUGGCAGCUGCCCGCAGGGAGGCCCACAGGUGGGACCAAGAUAGGGCCGGGCACGAGCCGCCUGAGCACAACCUUGGAUCUGACA